rnacentral:rRNA from 2 species
ACUCUGGUAUUGAUUGGUGCUUGCAUCAUGAUUUACAUUUGAGUGAGUGGCGAACUGGUGAGUAACACGUGGGAAACCUGCCCAGAAGCGGGGGAUAACACCUGGAAACAGAUGCUAAUACCGCAUAACAACUUGGACCGCAUGGUCCGAGUUUGAAAGAUGGCUUCGGCUAUCACUUUUGGAUGGUCCCGCGGCGUAUUAGCUAGAUGGUGGGGUAACGGCUCACCAUGGCAAUGAUACGUAGCCGACCUGAGAGGGUAAUCGGCCACAUUGGGACUGAGACACGGCCCAAACUCCUACGGGAGGCAGCAGUAGGGAAUCUUCCACAAUGGACGAAAGUCUGAUGGAGCAACGCCGCGUGAGUGAAGAAGGGUUUCGGCUCGUAAAACUCUGUUGUUAAAGAAGAACAUAUCUGAGAGUAACUGUUCAGGUAUUGACGGUAUUUAACCAGAAAGCACGGCUAACUACGUGCCAGCAGCCGCGGUAAUACGUAGGUGGCAAGCGUUGUCCGGAUUUAUUGGGCGUAAAGCGAGCGCAGGCGGUUUUUUAAGUCUGAUGUGAAAGCCUUCGGCUCAACCGAAGAAGUGCAUCGGAAACUGGGAAACUUGAGUGCAGAAGAGGACAGUGGAACUCCAUGUGUAGCGGUGAAAUGCGUAGAUAUAUGGAAGAACACCAGUGGCGAAGGCGGCUGUCUGGUCUGUAACUGACGCUGAGGCUCGAAAGUAUGGGUAGCAAACAGGAUUAGAUACCCUGGUAGUCCAUACCGUAAACGAUGAAUGCUAAGUGUUGGAGGGUUUCCGCCCUUCAGUGCUGCAGCUAACGCAUUAAGCAUUCCGCCUGGGGAGUACGGCCGCAAGGCUGAAACUCAAAGGAAUUGACGGGGGCCCGCACAAGCGGUGGAGCAUGUGGUUUAAUUCGAAGCUACGCGAAGAACCUUACCAGGUCUUGACAUACUAUGCAAAUCUAAGAGAUUAGACGUUCCCUUCGGGGACAUGGAUACAGGUGGUGCAUGGUUGUCGUCAGCUCGUGUCGUGAGAUGUUGGGUUAAGUCCCGCAACGAGCGCAACCCUUAUUAUCAGUUGCCAGCAUUAAGUUGGGCACUCUGGUGAGACUGCCGGUGACAAACCGGAGGAAGGUGGGGAUGACGUCAAAUCAUCAUGCCCCUUAUGACCUGGGCUACACACGUGCUACAAUGGAUGGUACAACGAGUUGCGAACUCGCGAGAGUAAGCUAAUCUCUUAAAGCCAUUCUCAGUUCGGAUUGUAGGCUGCAACUCGCCUACAUGAAGUCGGAAUCGCUAGUAAUCGCGGAUCAGCAUGCCGCGGUGAAUACGUUCCCGGGCCUUGUACACACCGCCCGUCACACCAUGAGAGUUUGUAACACC